rnacentral:lncRNA from 1 species
AGGCCAGAAGGGGCUGCCAACAUCUGCUUCCCAUUACCCGGGGGAGGGACUUCACCACCAGCCGCUGGUAACAGGAGACCCUGGCCUCUGAUUUAUGGCCCAUUUGGAAGGAGGCCUCGGAGCAAUUACUUGUUGGAUUGAGCCAGGCGAGGGGCUAGAGCUUUGCAAAGCGGAAAGCAGCCCCUGGCUGGCAGCGCUUUCUCCCCAGGAAGACAGGGACUAUCCACUCAGGAUCCAACAUAUCAGAGGAGGACUCCAGGAAGUCAUUCUACCACCUCUGCCUCCCUGCUGACGAAUCCGAUAUUUGGUUGAACAUUCCUACUUCAAAAUUCCAAAAUCUGAAGCAGUCCAAAAUCUGAAACUUUUGGGGCACUGACAUGAAGCCACAAAUAGAAAAUUCCACAUGUCUGGCAGUGUGUCUCACAGCUACCAGAAGCUUGAAGUGGUGCUGAACAUGCAUAAUGUGCUGAGACGUCUGCAGCAACUGUCCUUCCAUAGACUCCUUGGAUUUCGUGGUCCCAGGCUGAGAAAGCUUGGGGUAGAGAAAUAGGGCUGAGGGCAAAUCGCUGGCUGCAGCCGUGCUGUGGAAGCAAUGUGCCAGAAACCCUGACAAUGAACCGCUGUCUCUGACUAAUUGUUCUAGUGGAGAUGUCUCCUGUUUGACUUGAUUUUAAACUGUGGAGCACGUCAAGAGAAAGCUCACUGAUCUGCCGAGGGUUUGUGCUUUUCUGUCUUCAUGCAUCUGUUGUGGGUGAAGAGAGCAAAGAUUCUUCAUUCAAUCAAAGGCCCCCUUUGGAGAUGCUGAGAAGGAAAUUUCCUUUGGAAAUUCCCAAAGGUAGGUUCUUUGGGGAAGUGAGAACUCUGCUGCUUCAACCUUAGCCCAGCCUGCCCUCCUGGUGGGAAAGACCAGCCGUGUCUUGGCUUCCAAAGAACCAGGAGACAGAAGGAAUUUAUGGCUGGAAGCCCAGCAUGGUCGUGUCCCCUGGGCCCAGUUGCUUCCCCUCUGUGGUUUCCAUAUCUAUGUGUUAAGAGAAAGCAUCUGAAACUUUGAAAUAAGGAAGAAGAUGACUGCGUGUCCUUUGAAUGCCACAUUAAAGCACUGUCAGACAGGCCCUGCCCAAUGGCAAUUUAAUUCUUCAGGGCACGGGCCAAAUCUGGCUGCUGCCUGUUUUUGUAAAUAAAGUUCUAUUGGAACACAGCCACACCCAUUCGCGUACAGAUUGUCUGUGCUGCUUUCAUUUUGCAACCACGGCUGCAUUUGAGUGGUUGCAACAGAGACCAUAUGGCCCACAAAGCUGAAGAUUAUUUACUGUCUGCCCCUUUAUCGAGCACUUUUGCUGACCCUGCUCAAGGGAGGGGAAUAUACUUUUCUGUGAUUUACUCUUUACUACCGGUUCAGGCCCAGACUCUGGAAAGUGUGAUGCUAAUUUCUGGAAGAUUGAUAACUUGCAAAUGAUUUCAGUCCAGUAGUCAUGAAAAUGAUUUCUGUCCAGUGUAAAAGAUACCCUCGAAGAAUACGAUUUUAUUGACCCUCAGGACAUUCAUCAUUUCUGAGUCUGACUUUGCUGUCUUAGUUCAGCAAUCUUUCUGUCCUCCAAUGCAGUUACUUUGGUCUUUCCCGUAAGGCUUUGAACUGGUUUUCUCGUCCUGCUGGUCGCCCCACUCAUAGGUUAAAGAGAUCCUUGACAUGUGCUCAUUUACUAUUUGUGAAAGAGUCACAUUCUUACUUUUUUGAGAAUUAUACAUUGACAUGAGGACAUGGGACCAGAUCAGGGGUUAGCAAACUGUGCCCUGGGGAACCCUGAGUGUCUUGGGGAAACCCGAAGUCCCUUAGGUGAACUAUAAGAAGAUAAGGAGGAGAGAAGUUAGAGUCCCUUACCUCUUCAUCAACCAGAAAAGCUCCACUUACAAACCUCCCUUCUGUUUUGUGGUUUUAAACGUAAAAUUCCUUGAAAAAAA